UCUAGCCCCGCAGGCUAGAGUUCACUCUCCACUGGACCACCAGGGAUGGCACAUGGCAGCAAGGAUUUACUAAUCUGCCAAAUCCCUCCAAACAUACAGCACACACACAUACAGCUCACACACACACAGUACACUAACCGCACCCUCACAAACACACACAGCACCUUUUAAAAAACACAACACCCUCACACACAGCACACUAACAGCACCCUCACAAACACACACACAAACAGCAC